rnacentral:rRNA from 1 species
GGCGGACGGGUGAGUAAUGCUUAGGAAUCUGCCAUUUAGUGGGGGACAACAUUCCGAAAGGAAUGCUAAUACCGCAUACGUCCUACGGGAGAAAGCAGGGGAUCUUCGGACCUUGCGCUAAAUGAUGAGCCUAAGUCGGAUUAGCUAGUUGGUGGGGUAAAGGCCUACCAAGGCGACGAUCUGUAGCGGGUCUGAGAGGAUGAUCCGCCACACUGGGACUGAGACACGGCCCAGACUCCUACGGGAGGCAGCAGUGGGGAAUAUUGGACAAUGGGCGGAAGCCUGAUCCAGCCAUGCCGCGUGUGUGAAGAAGGCCUUUUGGUUGUAAAGCACUUUAAGCGAGGAGGAGGCUACUAGUACUAAUACUACUGGAUAGUGGACGUUACUCGCAGAAUAAGCACCGGCUAACUCUGUGCCAGCAGCCGCGGUAAUACAGAGGGUGCGAGCGUUAAUCCGAUUUACUGGGCGUAAAGCGUGCGUACGCGGCUUUUUAAGUCGGAUGUGAAAUCCCC